rnacentral:rRNA from 1 species
GCUAGUAACCGCAGAUCAGCAUGCUGUGGUGAAUACGUUCCCGGGCCUUGUACACACCGCCCGUCACACCAUGGGAGUCGGUAACACCCAAAGUUGGUAGUCUAACCGCAAGGAGGACGCCGCCUAAGGUGGGAUUGAUGACUGGGGUGAAGUCGUAACAAGGUACC